GAUGAACGCUGGCGGCGUGCCUAAUACAUGCAAGUCGAGCGAACAGAUAAGGAGCUUGCUCCUUUGACGUUAGCGGCGGACGGGUGAGUAACACGUGGGUAACCUACUUAUAAGACUGGAAUAACUCCGGGAAACCGGGGCUAAUGCCGGAUAACAUUUAGAACCGCAUGGUUCUAAAGUGCAAGAUGGUUUUGCUAUUACUUAUAGAUGGACCCGCGCCGUAUUAGCUAGCUGGUAAGGUAACGGCUUACCAAGGCAACGAUACGUAGCUGACCUGAGAGGGUGAUCGGCCACACUGGAACUGAGACACGGUCCAGACUCCUACGGGAGGCAGCAGUAGGGAAUCUUCCGCAAUGGGCGAAAGCCUGACGGAGCAACGCCGCGUGAGUGAUGAAGGUCUUCGGAUCGUAAAGCUCUGUUAUUAGGGAAGAACAAAUGUGUAAGUAACUGUGCACGUCUUGACGGUACCUAAUCAGAAAGCCACGGCUAACUACGUG
rnacentral:rRNA from 1 species